UACAGAGGUCUCAAGCGUUUGUUCGGAUUCAUUGGGCGUAAAGGGUGCGUAGGUGGCGGGGUAAGUCAGAUGUGAAAUCUCGGAGCUCAACUCCGAAACUGCAUUUGAUACUGCCUUGCUUGAGUACUGGAGAGGAGAUUGGAAUUUACGGUGUAGCAGUGAAAUGCGUAGAUAUCGUAAGGAAGACCAGUGGCGAAGGCGAAUCUCUGGACAGUUACUGACACUGAGGCACGAAGGCCAGGGGAGCAAACGGG
rnacentral:rRNA from 1 species